rnacentral:rRNA from 1 species
UGGCUCAGAACGAACGCUGGCGGCAGGCCUAAUACAUGCAAGUCGAGCGCCCCUUCGGGGGAGCGGCGGACGGGUGAGUAACGCGUGGGAAUAUGCCCUUUGGUACGGAACAACUGAGGGAAACUUCAGCUAAUACCGUAUGUGCCCUUCGGGGGAAAGAUUUAUCGCCAUUGGAGUAGCCCGCGUUGGAUUAGCUAGUUGGUGGGGUAAAGGCCCACCAAGGCGACGGUCCAUAGCUGGUCUGAGAGGAUGGCCAGCCACACUGGGACUGAGACACGGCCCAGACGACUACGGGAGGCAGCUGUGGG